GAUGAACGCUGGCGGCGUGCCUAAUACAUGCAAGUCGAGCGAACAGACGAGGAUCUUGCUCCUCUGAUGUUAGCGGCGGACGGGUGAGUAACACGUGGAUAACCUACCUAUAAGACUGGGAUAACUUCGGGAAACCGGAGCUAAUACCGGAUAACAUGUUGAACCGCAUGGUUCAACAGUGAAAGACGGUCUUGCUGUCACUUAUAGAUGGAUCCGCGCCGCAUUAGCUAGUUGGUAAGGUAACGGCUUACCAAGGCAACGAUGCGUAGCCGACCUGAGAGGGGGAUAGGCCACACGGGAACUGAGACACGGUCAAGACUCCUACGGGAGGCAGCAGUAGGGAAUCUGACGCAAUGGGCGAAAGCCUGACGGAGCAACGCCGCGUGAGUGAAGAAGGUCUUCGGAUCGUAAAACUCUGUUAUUAGGGAAGAACAAAUGUGUAAGUAACUAUGCACGUCUUGACGGUACCUAAUCAGAAAGCCACGGCUAACUACGUG
rnacentral:rRNA from 1 species